rnacentral:rRNA from 1 species
UACGGGGGGGGUAAGCGUUGUUCGGAAUUACUGGGCGUAAAGGGCUCGUAGGCGGCCAACUAAGUCAUACGUGAAAUCCCUCAGCUUAACUGGGGAACUGCGUGUGAUACUGGAUGGCUUGGAUUUGGGAGAGGGAUGCGGAAUUCCAGGUGUAGCGGUGAAAUGCGUAGAUAUCAGGAAGAACACCCGUGGCGAAGGCGGUUCUCUGGGACGGUACUGACGCUGAGACGCGAAAGCGUGGGGAGCGAACAGG